rnacentral:piRNA from 1 species
UCUUCAAUGUUGGAUGAGGAU